AGUGGACGCUGGCGGUAGGCCUAACACAUGCAAGUCGAACGGCAGCACAGUAAGAGCUUGCUCUUACGGGUGGCGAGUGGCGGACGGGUGAGGAAUACAUCGGAAUCUACUUUUUCGUGGGGGAUAACGUAGGGAAACUUACGCUAAUACCGCAUACGACCUACGGGUGAAAGCAGUGGAUCUUCGGACCUUUCGCGAUUGAAUGAGCCGAUGUCGGAUUAGCUAGUUGGCGGGGUAAAGGCCCACCAAGGCGACGAUCCGUAGCUGGUCUGAGAGGAUGAUCAGCCACACUGGAACUGAGACACGGUCCAGACUCCUACGGGAGGCAGCAGUGGGGAAUAUUGGACAAAGGGCGCAAGCCUGAUCCAGCCAUACCGCGUGGGUGAAGAAGGCCUUCGGGUUGUAAAGCCCUUUUGUUGGGAAAGAAAAGCAGCAGGUUAAUACCCCGCUGUUCUGACGGUACCCAAAGAAUAAGCACCGGCUAACUUCGUG
rnacentral:rRNA from 1 species